rnacentral:lncRNA from 1 species
UCAUGAUUUUAUAUUUAUAACCCCUAAAUAUUUAAUACAAAAGUUAAUGAUACCUUAUGGUAUUCCUUUAUUUUUAUGUAUAUAAAUUUAUAUUUUUUGUUUCAUGAGAUGCUAUCCAAGUUCACCCUUCAUUUUCACUAUUAUAUUCGUGCUUUUGUUUGUUUUGAAAAGAAAAUUAUCUAUAGAUAAACAAAAAACAAUACUUGAUGAAAUAGAUAACAUAAAAAUAAAUAUUAGAUAUAGUAUAAUUAGAAUAAAUUAUUAUAAAAAGAUGAGGAUAUGACUACCAACUUAUCUGAUGAAAUGAUAGAUAAAUUUAAAAUACUUAUUUUGUAUGUACUUAAGGGUUUGGUUAAAUGCUUUAUCAUAAUAUUCACUGUUUGUUUGUUUUAAUCUUAAUAAUUCUGUUAUAUUUUCAUUAAUGUAUUCUAUGUAUUUUAUAUCUUUAGUUCUCAUAUAUUCUUCUAAAUUUGUUUUCAUUAGUUUUUCUAUUAAUUGUAUAUUUUCCAAAUCCAUUUUCCAAUAUUGUAGGUAUACGUAAUUUAUCAUAGAUGUGUAGUUUUGGUAUGUAGGUAUUUGUAAGAGUAGUUAGGUAGGUGAGGUACAUAAUUAAUUCUAGUCAUAAAAUAUUCAUCAAAUAUUUUUUCCAAUAUGAUUUUUCUUAUAUCUACUAUUUCUAUAUCCUUAAGUACAUACAAAAUAAGUAUUUUAAAUUUAUCUAUCAUUUCAUCAGAUAAGUUGGUAGUCAUAUCCUCAUCUUUUUAUAAUAAUUUAUUUUAAUUAUACUAUAUCUAAUAUUUAUUUUUAUGUUAUCUAUUUUGUCAAGUAUUAUUUUUUGUUCAUCUAUAGAUAAUUCUGGAUAACAUAAAUAUAGACUAUCUUCGGUUUCUCCUUCUUCUAAAUGUAACUUUAUUCCAAGUAAUCUUUGUUCUAAUUGUCUUUUUUCUCUUUUAAGCUGAUUUUCAAAAUUAAUUUCCUCAUGUAGUCAAUAUUCACAUAUCUUGUCCAAUAUUAUUUUCUUUAUGUCUAAAAUUUCUAUAUCUUUAAGUAUAUACAAAACAAGUAUCUUAAAUUUAUCUAUCAUUUCAUCAGGUAAGUAGGUAGUCAUUUUUCAUAAAAUGCUAUUUUUCAAAAUUUUUCCUUCAAUCAUAUACAAAACAAAAUAUGGUCAUCUUAAAUUACUAUGUACUAGAUUAUUCUUAAAUAAUUAUGUUACUCUGUCACUAUUAGCAUGGUAAUCUGGAUAUUUUUUCCUUAAACAACGCCUUUACUCUGGCUACUCCCCUAUCAUGGGCUUCUUCCCUUACCGGUUUCACCUUUAGGAUGACAUAGUUCUAAGGAUUUUUCUCCUUUUCCGCUUUGGUAAUAAACUUUGUAACAUAUUAUUCUUCGAAUACUUCUACUACAAAGUAAUUAACUUGAACUUAUUUUAUCAUAUCAUGAUUGUCAGGAAUUUAUGAAUUUAGCUAUUCAUAAUUGUAAAUAAAUAUACCUGUUCUGGUAAUUCGGGAUUUUGUUCAUCAAUAGCUUUUUUCAUUGAAAUAUACCUGUUUUUAUUAAGUAAUCAAAAAUAUUUUUUGUGCACAAGAGAAGGUUUUGCUUCAACUUAUG